AUUUUGAGUCUCAUAGCAAAACUUUCAGCUUACAUUACUAGUGGAAAACCUAACUGAAGUAAUGAAGUCAAAACUUCAAAAAGUAAUGAGCGCAGUCUGUGCAAAGAGGAAGUGACAAGCUGGUGCAAUGGCUCUUCAAAUGGAAAAAGGCAUGAACAGGUUGGUUCUCUGAAUGGACACAUCCCCAGAGCAGGGAAACAGAGCACACCUAACCAGCCUGAGAGGAUGUUGUCACAGGGGGUAUUUGGAAGCCCAGUAGUCUCUGUAGGCAGAGUCAUUUCCCUGAUAUGUAGAACCCAUAGCACCAGGCCAUGCAACCUGCCUCAACUAACACCCGUACCCUGUCAUAACACACACCUUGCCCUGCCACAACAGGGAAAAUGAAGUGUCAUCAAGGACAGACACUCUGAAGAGUUUUGUGAUUAUUGCAUCAUUGGUCCAGAAGCUAUGGCAAAAUCAUUAUACAUGAUUUACUGGACAUGUGUAGGCUAUACCUUAUCUAAAAUAUAUCUCUCUUUUUUUUAAAGACAACUUUAUUACGGCAGGGUAACAAGUCCUAUGAAGGAAUUCAUUAUAAAAGUGUAUUGCAACAGACAACCUCUUGCCAGACAAAUUAUUUCACAAGCAUCACUGGAACAAAUACUGUUAUGAAUCCACAGCCUGUGACCAUUUACAUGAGCUGUUUGUGGUGUGGUGUGGUGUGUUACUUUCCACUGUGUAAUAUCUUUCUGACAACUGCUGCUCUACUUUACCUUCAACUGAGUGGGUCAUGAGUCAUACCUUUAUUUUGUUCCUGUGAUCUUCAUUGCAAUUUCCUUGAACAUUUCCACAGAAGUCACAGCUUUAGAACAAAAAGGAAGUUAAGCAGUUGAACUGUAAUCAUGACAUUUUACUAGAAGAUCGUUAUACUAAUGGACCCAGGCAAGGAGUAGAAUGAUAGCUAAAGAGACUGGUACCCAGGCAAGGAGUAGAAUUAUAGCUAAAGAGACUGGUACCCAGGCAAGGAGUAGAAUGAUAGCUAAAGAGACUGGUACCCGGGCAAGGAGUAGAAUGAUAGUUAAAGAGACUGGUACCCGGGCAAGGAGUAGGAUGAUAGCUAAAGAGACUGGUGCCCAGGCAAGGAGUAGAAUGAUAGCUAAAGAGACUGGUACCCGGGCAAGGAGUAGAAUGAUAGCUAAAGAGACUGGUACCCAGGCAAGGAGUAGAAUGAUAGCUAAAGAGACUGGGACCCAGACAAGGAGUAGAAUGAUAGCUAAAGAGACUGGGACCCAGACUAGCAUUAGCCCAGGUAUGAUUUGAAGAGGAAGGGUAGAUACAGAUGUGGCACCUUAUUAAGCAGUAAUUGUGAAUUCAGGAUUUGAAAACUGGACUCCGGAGUAAAUAGUUGAGGCUAUGCAGUCGGGCCUUGGUCCUCUUGGUGGGGGUACCAGCUGUGUCACGCCAUACUGAAAAACAAUAUGGAAAUGGGUGAAAACCACCUGUCCCUACUAUAGUGUACACGUUUUUCGAAAUGUAUACAAUUUCUUGUCACUACAAUUUCAAUGUGUUAUAACAUUUAUGUCGCCGCAUCAUCAACCCUUACAAAAAAAGAUUGCACUUUUGAUACUGCAGUAACUGCCCUCCACUGUGGUAUUUCAGACACAGGCAUUGCAGAAUAUAAUGCACUCUAACUGCAGUUACACUGCAAAACUACUGCAGUAAAAAAAAGUUAUUUUGCAUGCAGUAUUUGCAGCAUACUGCAGUUAUACUGCACUCUGACUGCAGUCCUUGCUGGUUUGUGUGCAUUAUAAACAUGAAAAAGGGCCUAUUAAAAAUAUUGUACAGACAAAAUAUUAUCAUUGAAUACUGUGUGCUUACUAAUGGCGAUGAGUCUGUUGCCAUUGCUGAACAGGAACUGUUCAUUUUCUUUCAUUGCACAGUAGAACUCUCCACAAUUGUCUUCUGUUACAUUCUGUAUGACCACUAUAAAUUCUGUCGGUUUUAACAGAAUGUAUCAUGGAAAUAAGUACCAUGAGAACUCACACAGAAUAUGGCCAGUGGAGGCUGUGGUUGCAGCUGUAUGUACCAGUAUGUAUUUUCUGCACUAGUGGGUGGAAAAGUACAAUUUAUAGUCACAAUGUGUCCAAGUUCCACCAGUGUGUCUGUCAAAGCCUCAGCUCCAACAGUUUUAAGACACCUAA